GGGGGGGGUUGGCUUUGCUUCCUCGACAUGCGAAGGGAAGGACCCGAGGUGAUUGCCCCGUGUAAUUCAGUGCCUGCCUUUUGGUUUUGUCUUCGUGCUCUUUGAUUGCUAGGACAUAGAGACUUUGUAGGACACCCUUGUCGACGUUCAACACACACCCCCCUCCACCCCCCCGAAGCCGAGGAGAGACCUCCAAAAAACCGAGGCCAAGGAAGAGAUUGAGGCUUGGUUCGGCUCCGUUCUUCUCUUCCGGGAGAACGAGCCUUUUGACGACAAAAAAUCAACGAAACAAUGGGGGUGGGUGGGGUUUUGGGGGGGUUUUUGGGGGGGGGGGGGGGAAGCCUUCCAAAUCCUCUCUCCCCUCCCCCCCCACCUCCUCCCCCCCCCCCCCCAAAUUUCGUACUUUAUUUUGCUAUCGCAGACUAAAAGAAGAAAGAGAAGAGGUUAUUUUCCCAUGGGGUUUGGGCAGGGAGCUUGGUUUUUGGGGAGCGGGGAGGGAGGGGGGUGGGUUUGGAGGAACCGGCCACCAAAUCCAUGGAAAACUGUGGAAAAUCCAUGGGGAACCAUGAAAAACCAUGGAAAAACCAUGGGAAACUGUGGAAAACUAUGGAAAAUCCAUGGAAAAACCAUGGGAAACUAUGGAAAAUCCAUGCGAAACCAUAGAAAUCCAUGGGAAACUCUGGAAAACUGUGGAGAACCAUAGAAAUCCAUGGAAAAACCAUGGAAAACCAUGGAUAACCAUGGAAAUCCAUGGAAAACUAUGGAAACCAUUGGAAACCCAUGGAGAACCAUGGAAAACGAUGGAAAACCAUGGAAAAACCAUGGAAAACCAUGAAAAAAUAGAGAAAACUAGGGAAAACUAGGGAAAACCAUGGAAAACCCCAUGGGGAACCAUGGAAAAACUAUGGGGAACCAUGAAAAAACAUGGAAAACUGGGGGAAAACCAUGGGGAACCAUGGAAAAACCAUGGAGAACCAUGGGAAAACCAUGGGGAACCAUGAAAAAACCAUGGAAAACUGUGGGAAAACCAUGGGGAAACCAUGGAGAACCAUGGAAAAAACCAUGGGGAACCAUGAAAAAACCAUGGAAAACUGGGGGAAAACCAUGGGAAACCAUGGGAAAACCCAUGGAGAACCAUGGAGAACCAUGGAAAUCUAUGGAGCCCCAUGGAGAAUCCAUGGAAAACCAUGGUCAAAAAGAGGGGAAACUCAUCAAAACCCACCCGAAACGCGAUGGUUCCACCUUGUUCUCGCCGUGGGGCCGAUGGGGUUGGUGGCUCUUGGUCGUGCGCUGAUGUUCCUUCAAGAAGAUGCCAAGCCAACGACAAAAGACAACUUGGGUGUAGGCCAUUACCUGUUUCUCAUCUGUAGUUACUCGAUGCUGUCAUGUACAUGACCGUUCUGUAGCAAUAAAUGUGCCAUUUUUA
rnacentral:lncRNA from 1 species